ensembl:lncRNA
AAUACACCAGUGAGGACACACACACACACACACACACACACAGAUAGGGAAGUGUGUGUUCACUGUGUCUGUGGCGCCCUCCUGUGGUCCAUCGAGGGAGAGACAGUGAAUGAUACACAAGGAAAGACACAGAAAGACAGACUAAAUGGCACAAUGUUCACACAUUAAUAAAACAUGAUCAUCAUAUCUGUGUAAGCAGUGUUGUGGGUAAUGCAUUACUAGUAAUGCAAGUUACGUAAUCAGGUUACUUUUUUCAAGUAACUAGUAAAGCAACGCAUUACUUUUUAAUAAGAAAAUAUCUGUUUACUUUCAGAUAAGUAAUAUAAGUUACUGUGUUUCUCAUGUAUUGACUGACGGCUCUCCUGUCAUCAUGUUGAGAGAAUCAGGAGUGCAGAGGCGUUGUGUGUGCUGUGUGAACAUGAUCUUACUGUAGUUCUAGACUAAUCUCAACAUGCAUUUACUCAUCUCACUCGCACAGAAACAGAUUCAGAAUUUCUCAAAAUACGGCAAAAUACAAACUCAGAAUAAAAUUCAGUAUGUAUCGCGCUUUAAACAAAACAUUGUGUCAAAGCAACUGAACAACAUUAAUUAGGAAAACAGUGUUUAAAUCAAAACCAAAUCUCCAUUGGUGACAGAAUGGAGAAAAAAAUCUUGUGAGAAACCAGGCUCAGUCGGGGGUCCAGUUCUCCUCUGACCAGAUGAAACCAGCAGUUCAAUUCCAGGCUGCAGCAAAGUCAGAUUGUGCAGAAGAAUCAUCUGUUUCCUGUGGUCUUGUCCUGGUGGCCGUCUAGGAGAAAAGUCUUGGCUGUGGAUCUGUGUCUGGGGCUCAUGUAGGUGUUCUGGUCUCUGCUGUCUUUCAGGGCUGUAGAGGUCCUUUCUAGGUGCUGAUCCACCAUCUGGGCUGGAUACGUACUGGAUCCGGGUGACUGCAGUGACCAUCUGAUCUGGAUACAGACUGGAUCUGGUGGCUACAGUGACCUCGGAAUAAGAGAGAAACAGACUGAUAUUAGACUGUUAUUUUAGUGUAGAUGCCAUUCUUCUAACGAUGUAGCAAGUACAUCGGGUGUUAUGGGAAGUGUUCCCAGUUCCGGUUUUUCUAGUUAAUGCAGCCUAAAAAUCCUUUAACGGAUUUAAGUAUUAGAAAUGUGUUAGUGUGUUAUGUGUAAGCCAG